GGAGUUCCUUCAUCACAAAUUCUCUUCCGAUAAUAAACUAAGAAUGUUCUAACUUCUAAGAGUGUUAUGAACAGGCAUUGACAACUGACAAGUAGGCCCAGGAAAAUUUUCUAGCCCAGCAGGGCCCAUAUGUUCUCAAACAUGUGUCUUAUUCUUUGGAAUGAAAAGUCUGAUCCUUGUAGCAAGCAAAGCUGUAUUCCUCUCCUAUGAGGUUCUAUUUUCCAUUAUUAUUUUUUGUCAAAGAAGAUGAUGUUCUACUUACAUUCUCAAAGGUAUAUUAUCUGAAGAAAGGGGAGGAAUUAGGAAGACUGACAUGCUUUUCUUAAUGAAAGAGCAAGCUUCAGGGAGUAUUAAUAGGGCCCAAAGAAGCUGCCCUAAGAGCUAAGACUGAACUACAAAUGACAGUUUCAGCAAACAUUAAGCACUUGCAUUUUCAGACUACCGCAGACUUCCUUGUCCCUUCACCAAGAGUUCAAAAGCACCAAACCAGAUUCUACAAGUAAAGUGGAUAGAAGCAAUCUACCAUUGAUCUCAAGUAUCAGGUAGACUGGAAAUCUGGUACUUCUGUUUGAAUAUAGCCAUCAAGCUUCACAAGUUCACAGCAACAUUAAGCGAGAAAUAACGUAGUUUUUCUCAAGAAAUGACUGUGCUAUCUGUCUUGGCUUCAUCAAUACUGUCAAAGGUCACCACGUUUGCUGUUGAAUAUGCUCUCGACGACAUUAAAUUUGCUUGGAAUGUUAAGAGUGAGCUGGAAAAGUUGAAAAACUCAUUGGGAGCUAUUUGUGCUGUUCUGAAAGAUGCAGAAAGAAAGCAAUCUACACACAGUUCACUUAAGCAUUGGCUUGAAAAUCUCAAAGAUGUUGUCUAUGACAUAGAUGAU